CUUUCAACAGGUUGCACAAAAAGCCUACAAAUUCAACAUGUCGAGUUCAAAUGCUAAUUGCUUAAUUUACAUGAACAAUGAAAUCCAAAUCUAUGAUCCGAAAAUGAAAAAAAAAUUGGUUUCACACCCUAUUUGUCUAUUAUAUAGUAGUGAGUAUUCAGGCCAUGGUUUUUACAUCCGCGAAAAAACGAUUAUGACAAGUGAUCACGUUUUUAAAAAGAAUAAAAGGCCUGAUAUAAUUUCGUGUUUUUUCCCCUCAGAUGAUUUUGUAUUAAUUUUUAAGAUUGAUUCUGAGUCAUACCAGUCGUACCCAGAGGCAGACAUUGGUAUACUUCACUUUGAUGCUGACCCCUCACCUCUAGGUGUUGGCUUAUAUGAGAAAAUGUACCUUGGUCCUCCAGCGCCAGGUAUAGAUAUAUAUUUCACCACAUUUGAUAAAUCAAACCUAGGUGCUCCCAUCAAACAUCAUGGGACAAUAAUACCGGUCACUGACAGCCAAGAACUGUUAGAAAAUGAGUUCCUGAUGAAUACCCAUGGUCAGCCAGGAGAUAGUGGAAGUCCAAUUUUUGAUCAAAUGGGCAGAUGUGUAGGAUUAUAUCGUGGAAUUCUCUGUGGCAAUGGCCGUGGGGUAUAUCUAAACUGUUCACUCCAGCCCCAAUCAAUAUUAUCUACCUUACUUGACUACCUUGCUCAAUUUAAGGAUAAUUUUUCUACUUUUCUCUACUUUCUUCCUACAUUUAGUCAUUCUCCCUAACCAGUUCAUGAAAAUUAUCAUUAGUUUAAGGACUCAAAUGAAAAACAAAAAAUGAAAAACAAAAACUCAAUUUAGAUAUACCCAUGGGAUAUAUCUAAAUUGUUAAAUCCAGCCCCAAUCAAUAUUAUCUACCUUACUUGACUGCCUUGCUCAAUUUAAGGAUAAUUUUCCUACUUUUCUCCCUUAGAUCUCUCACAUUUAGUCAUUCUCCCUAACCAGUUGUUCAUGGAAAUUAUCAUUAGCUUAAGGACUCAAAUGAAAAAAAAAAAAAAAAAAAAAAAAAAACAACAACAAAAAAAACAAGCAGAAAAAACAAAAGAAGAAGAAAGCAAAUGUAUUUUUCUGUAUGUUUUUAUUUGCUGUUUGUUUUUAUUACAAUUCUGUUUGGUCAUGGGCAUGUCACUGUGGUGCAUUUGUUUCACCAUGCCCAGGCUUGUGUGCAACCUUUUUAGGUCCAUCUACGUCCCUUCCCCUCCCCAGGGUGGAAUCUUAUGUGUGGCCUCUCUCCAGAAACUGAGACACCUGGAGUAGUGGCUUUCAUACAGAGGCCUUGCUCAAAUGAAGAGGUUGAACAGACUGUACUGAAGGGUGGACCAGGCUGAGACCACUCCUGACCAUACUGCCCCCAGUAUGGAGGAUAUCAACGUAACCACAAAGGUCAGCCACAUCACUCACAGCCAUUCCAUCUGGAUCCUCCUAUUUUUGGAAAAUAUCACCACCAGCUGGUCACCUCUGGAAUAACACACCAUCGACUGCAAAUCCAUCACCACCUGGGCUAUUUGCUAUCAGAUCUGAUUCCUCCCUGGCUCCUAUUUUCCUUGUCUUUUUAUGUCUGUGCCUAAUCUGGGUUUAGCUCAGAUUAAGAUUAAAAUGUUUAAGAUUGUGCCUACUCUGGGUUAAAGAUUUAACUCAGUUUAAGAUUUUUUGUUUUAUUU